GGCAGCAGUAGGGAAUCUUGCACAAUGGAGGAAACUCUGAUGCAGCGAUGCCGCGUGAGUGAAGAAGGCCUUUGGGUUGUAAAGCUCUUUCGUCGGGGAAGAAAAUGACUGUACCCGAAUAAGAAGGUCCGGCUAACUUCGUGCCAGCAGCCGCGGUAAUACGAAGGGACCUAGCGUAGUUCGGAAUUACUGGGCUUAAAGAGUUCGUAGGUGGUUGAAAAAGUUGGUGGUGAAAUCCCAGAGCUUAACUCUGGAACUGCCAUCAAAACUUUUCAGCUAGAGUAUGAUAGAGGAAAGCAGAAUUUCUAGUGUAGAGGUGAAAUUCGUAGAUAUUAGAAAGAAUACCAAUUGCGAAGGCAGCUUUCUGGAUCAUUACUGACGCUGAGGAACGAAAGCAUGGGUAGCGAAGAGGAUUAGAUACCCUCGUAGUCCAUGCCGUAAACGAUGUGUGUUAGACGUUGGAAAUUUAUUUUCAGUGUCGCAGCGAAAGCGAUAAACACACCGCCUGGGGGAGUACGACCGCAAGGUUAAAACUCAAAUGAAUUGACGGGGACCCGCACAAAUAGUGGAGCAUGUGGUUUAAUUCGAAGAUACGCGCAGAACCUUACCAACACUUGACAUGUUCGUCGCGACUCUAGAGAUUAGAGUUUUCGGUUCGGCCGGACGAAACACAGG
rnacentral:rRNA from 1 species